rnacentral:tRNA from 1 species
GCCAGUGUAGCUCAGUGGUAGAGCAACUGAUUCGUAAUCAGUAGGUCGGGGGUUCGACUCCCCCUGCUGGCU